CUGCUCAUUGUCUUUGUGAUCAAAGAUGAGCUCCGCAGAGAAACAUUGCAGUACUCUAGUAAGAGAGAACUUAGAGAAGGAGCCACAGAUAAUGGAGCUCAGAAACCAAUGCAGAAUCAUCCGUACGAGUGAGCUUGCAACUGCGCAAGAAAAGCUCAAUGAGCUGGAAAGACAAAAGGAAGAGAUCCUCAAGCUCUACUCUCCUGGUUCUCUUCUUCAUAAACCAUAAGGUAAACUCACACAACUGCAUUACUUCCAUCGGUAUAGUUUCUUGGUGUCAUGACUUCUAAACGACACCUUUUGCGUGCUCCGCAGAGGCUAUGAAUCAGGUGGAUGAAGAAUGUGAAGCAUUACAAGAGAAGUUCCUAGAGAAGGAGUUUGAUACAGCACCAUUUGUGCAUAAUACAAGAACCUGCGUACCACUUACCAUAAACGAGCAUUGAAUCACCUUUCUGCUAAAACCUCAACCAUGUGUUGAAAACUAAGAAAAGCAGCUUUUGGACACUGAACUGAAUUCAUAACCAAAGUCUUUUUCUUUUGUAUGUCUCGACUCUUAUCCGAUGUUGUAAAAUAAAUAACUUACAACAACAAUUUCAUAAAAAGACAAAAACAAAAAGAACAAAAAGCCAAAGUCUUUUU